GGUCUGCCCAUUUCUGUUAUAUGGCCAUCCAAAUGGAGCUUGGUUGCUACGAUUCAAAUUCCAGCCUGAUUCUUAUUGGACAGGAUUUCAGCUUGCCAUCCAAGCUAUUUGUCUGUGAUGCUGCAAUCCAGAGAACUGAGAUUUAUGAGUACUUGCUGUCUAUAUCUCAAGGCAAUCAAUGUCCACAUUUCCAGACCUUCAAGAUCCUCUACACCUGGAGACUGUUCAGGGCAGGACGCUUCACUGAGGCGUUGAGGUACACGGAGGCUGUUGCAUCAGUCCUGGUAGCCUCUUCAGUGAGACCUUCCCCUGCUAUGACUAGUCU